GGCGCUGUGGCUUAGUUGGUGAAAGUGCCUCUCUUGUUAACAGGAGAUCCUGGGUUCAAAUCCCAGCAGUGCCU
rnacentral:tRNA from 1 species